ACGGAAAAGCAGGUGCUCGCGCAUUCGCGCUUAGAGCACGCUGCUUCAAGGGGAAAUCAUGACACUCGAUGACUUUGCUUAGAUCCGGUAAAGCGGAUUUAGACUUGUCCGUGGCCAGGUAGACGGUGGCUCUUCUGUAAAAUAAAGAAAUGAUUGCUGGUGACUUUCUGAGAAAAGCUCACCGACUCACCAACAGCUGCGUGGAAAUGGGAAAGUGCGUCGGCCAGCUGUCCGGCAGCCAGGAGCUUCUUCCCCAUCUCCAGGUAAGGUGAUAUCCAUCCAUCCAUCCAUCCAUCUUCAAUACUACUUAUCCUUCAGGGUCACGGGGAACCUGGCGCCUAUCCCAGGGAGCAUCGGGCACAAGUAUAUCCUGGACAGGCCAAUCCAUUACGGCACAAUCACAUACACACUCGCACACCCAUUCAUACACUACGGACACUUUUAGACAUGCCAAUCAGCCUACCAUGCAUGUCUUUGGACUGGGGGAGGAAACCGGAGUACCCGGAGGAAACCCCCACAGCACGGGGAGAACAUGAAAACUCCGCACACACAGGGCCGCAGUGGGAAUCGAGCCCCCGACCCUGGAGUGAGGCGAACGUGCUAACCGUUAAGCCACCAUCCACCUGAGGGUGAGGUUGUGGGGAGGCUGCCCCAUGUGCUCUUCUGUGUGGAGUGUCUCUGCUCUCUGGAGUGUCCUCAGGACUCCAACUCUGUCCCCUCAGUCAGCUGUCCCGAGUGUAGGACGGUUUUUGCUAUGUGGGCCAAUCUCAGCUGAAAGCAGGUGUACUUGCGGCAGGUCCAUACUCUGUGUAGCGGUGUGUAUCUGCUUUUUCGAGUUCGUUAAGUCACAGACGGGCCACAGCUAAAAUUAAGGAGCUCAGCCGCCUGGAAAACACUUUUGACGGUUAAAUCAGUUAGGAUACUCGAGGCUGCAGUCAUUCUUCGUUUUCAAGAGGAAUCAUUUCAGCUGAAGAAGCCAUGCUGAGGGAGGUGUUAACUAAAUUAGAGAUGGUGCUGGACCAACAAACCACUGAGAUUGCUUCAACUACAGGAGGUCCAGGUGCAGCCUUUGGAUAUUGAUGAAGAUUUACUGCCCCUGCAAGACCUUCCUCAACUGUGUAGUCUGGAGCGAAGGAUGCAACAGAGCCCAGAUUACAAGCAAAAUCUGUUUCAGGUAAACUGGUUGGAGCUUAUUGACAGGGCGGAUGUGCUCAACUGCACCUGGUGCAUAUUGGUGAUUACUAACUCCCUGGAAAAGAACCUCAAUUGGAGGGGAAUCAAUAGAAAGACUUCACUGUCCGCUCUCCAACUCGGAGAGGUCGUGAUUGUUCAUAGAAACCUCUUUACGGCUAACGCUGCAGAGAUGGAGGUCGAGAGGACCAUGAAGAGGUGGCUCCAGCUGGCAUCAGAUCAAGAGUGUGAGUGCAAGAGAAGUCUUUUGCAAAAGGAAGCUACCAGGAAUCCUGAAGAAGGACGAGUGCAUUGGAGCAGUCGUGCCGCAUGCGGGGGCAAACAUCAGGCUUCGGCAGACGGAGGUUCUGAAGAGGGACUUCGCCAGCCUGAUCGAGACGGUACGAGGCAGAUCACCCACCGCGAAGAUCAUCGUCUCUGGACCUCUUCCCUCAUACAGAUGUGGAGCUGAAAAGUUCAGUAGACUUCUAGCAUUAAAUGAUUGGUUAGUUUCUUGGUGUAAUUAACAGGAAUCUGCUGUUUGUUAAUAACUGGAAUCUGUUCUGGGAGCGUCCUAGGUUGUUUCGUCCUGAUGGCCUGCACUCCAGCAGCUUCGGAGCGGAACUGCUGUCAGACAACAUCUCCAAGACACUACAAACCAAGUGACUGCCUACCGUCAAAUUAUUCGUAAACAUGGAAUGAACUUCCACUGUUAUGCUGAUGAUACAGAGCUGUAUGUUUGCAACUGAACAAUAACAACAAUAAACAACAACUGAAGAAUAGCGAAAAACUUCAACUGUUUUCGUGCUUACUUGAAGACGAUGAGGCGGAGCAGCAUCGGAGAGACAGUUCGCUCCAUUCUCCAAAGAAUCGGGGAGAACAGUCUGUGGUGUAUGUUUUCGUUGAAAGCGUCAAAAGGUGGGAAGCUGGCUUUGACUGAUCAGGAUGAAGUGUAUGGCCUUGUACACUAUAUUGCCGAACAAGCACAUGGACGUGAAUAUACUGUUGCCGGUUGCAGAGAGGCCAUCGGCAGCUACCUAAAAAAUGCCCCAGGCAGGAAAAGUGUCAAGAAACACAUUGAGUGUUUAUGAUGAAGCAGAGCUACAUGGGAUCUCCAGUGCGUCCUGCAAGAAUUGGGCCUGAGUCCAGUUCAGAUUCAAUCUUGUAAUCUCAUUCCUCUCCCUCGCGUGACAGCCUCCAAACAGUACAAUUCUAAUGAGCUUGAAUAUACGGAGAAUUCCAUUGGGUUUGAUGUCUGACUAAUAAUUUUUUUCUUUGAUUAGCAAUACAUAGGAACUAUAUCUGGCUAUUUUGUGUGUUACAAUAUUGAAUGUCAUUUUUCAGCUUUUAACUUCGUCUGCAUUUACUAAAAUUCAUGCAUGUUUAUUAAAAAUAUUCAUGGAGUUUGUUAAACUAUAUAAUUGUUGUCUGUCAUUCAUAAGAUUCGUCAUGCGAAUUCCAUAGACCAGAAUCUAACAUCCACAUUAUUGAAGCUUGUUUAAUUACGGAUUUGUUAAAGCAUGCGGUAUGUUAUAUGCUUUAAUUGUAUCUUGCCACAUAAUGUUGGAAAAUGAGUACUUGUGUACUUUUCAAGAAAUUAGAUACAAAAAGGAUUACACAUAUCUGAUUAGAAAAAAUAGCAUCAUAAUGUGUGUAACUUUGUGUAUAAAUAUUGUGUAGUGUAUUUACACCACAUUAUGAGGUGUAUAUACAGGCAAUUACAAAAUACUAUGUGCAUGUUGUUGAGUCUUUCUGGAAUUCUAUAUCCCUGUUUUAUAAAGCACUGAAUGGUUUGGGUCCAAUAUAUAUUUCUGAUCUACUGGUACCUUAUGAACCAUCCAGACCUCUGAGGUCAUCUGGAACAGGUCUGCUUUCUGUUCUCAGAGUCAAAACUAAAUGUGGAGAAGCAGCAUUUAGUUUUUAUUCUCCACAUAUCUGGAACAAACUCCCAGAAAACUGCAGAUCUGCCAAAACUGUCAGUUCUUUUAAAUCAAGACUGAAGAAUUUUCUUUUUGCUGCUGCUUUUAAAUCAAUCAUCAAGGUAUUUUAAUUAAUAUCUUAUGCUGCACUGUAACCUUUUUAAUCUGUUUUAACCUGUUUUUUAUUUGUUUGUUUUUAUUAUUACUUUUUUUAAAAUUUAUUUUAUAUAAUGUGUAUGAACUCUUUUUAAUGUCUUCUUUUUAAAUGUUGCUUUGUGUUGCUUUUAUGUAAAGCACUUUGAAUUACCCUGUUGCUGAAAAUGUGCUAUACAAAUAAAUUUGCCUUGCCUUUGUG